ACUGUGGAUUGCUAUACAAACUGUAGUAGGUAGAUAUUUUGUAUCAUCAAGGCAGAGUACGGUGAAACAGUAA
rnacentral:ncRNA from 1 species